rnacentral:rRNA from 1 species
GACGAACGCUGGCGGCGUGCUUAACACAUGCAAGUCGAACGGUGAAGGGACCAGCUUGCUGGUUCUGGAUGAGUGGCGAACGGGUGAGUAACACGUGAGUAACCUGCCCCCUUCUUCUGGAUAACCGCAUGAAAGUGUGGCUAAUACGGGAUAUUCUGGGUCUGUCGCAUGGCGGGCCCGGGAAAGAUAUUGCUUCGGUGGGGGAUGGGCUCGCGGCCUAUCAGCUUGUUGGUGGGGUGAUGGCCUACCAAGGCGGUGACGGGUAGCCGGCCUGAGAGGGUGGACGGUCACACUGGGACUGAGACACGGCCCAGACUCCUACGGGAGGCAGCAGUGGGGAAUAUUGCACAACGGGCGCAAGCCUGAUGCAGCGACGCCGCGUGAGGGAUGGAGGCCUUCGGGUUGUAAACCUCUUUCGCCAGUGAAGCAGGCCUGCUCCUUGUGGGUGGGUUGACGGUAGCUGGAUAAGAAGCGCCGGCUAACUACGUG